rnacentral:rRNA from 1 species
UACAGAGGUCUCAAGCGUUGUUCGGAUUCAUUGGGCGUAAAGGGUGCGUAGGUGGCGAGGCAAGUCUGGUGUGAAAUCCCGGGGCUCAACCCCGGAACUGCACUGGAUACUACUUUGCUAGAGUACUGGAGAGGAGAUUGGAAUUUACGGUGUAGCAGUGAAAUGCGUAGAUAUCGUAAGGAAGACCAGUGGCGAAGGCGAAUCUCUGGACAGUUCCUGACACUGAGGCACGAAGGCCAGGGGAGCAAACGGG